rfam:Anolis carolinensis unplaced genomic scaffold chrTn0884, whole genome shotgun sequence.
UUUGCUCCUGAUUGUCCAAACGCAAUUCUUGUCCAGAAAACAUGCAAACCAAGAAUUGUGUCUGGACAUCUGUGGCCAA